rnacentral:rRNA from 1 species
GUUUUCCUACGGGGGGCAGCAGUGGGGAAUAUUGGGCAAUGGGCGCAAGCCUGACCCAGCAACGCCGCGUGAAGGAAGAAGGCUUUCGGGUUGUAAACUUCUUUUCUCAGGGACGAAGCAAGUGACGGUACCUGAGGAAUAAGCCACGGCUAACUACGUGCCAGCAGCCGCGGUAAUACGUAGGUGGCAAGCGUUAUCCUGAUUUACUGGGUGUACAGGGCGUGUAGGCGG